rnacentral:rRNA from 1 species
AUUGAACGCUGGCGGCAGGCCUAACACAUGCAAGUCGAGCGGAAGAAGGGAGCUUGCUCCUGGAUUCAGCGGCGGACGGGUGAGUAAUGCCUAGGAAUCUGCCUGGUAGUGGGGGAUAACGUCCGGAAACGGGCGCUAAUACCGCAUACGUCCUGAGGGAGAAAGUGGGGGAUCUUCGGACCUCACGCUAUCAGAUGAGCCUAGGUCGGAUUAGCUAGUUGGUGGGGUAAAGGCCUACCAAGGCGACGAUCCGUAACUGGUCUGAGAGGAUGAUCAGUCACACGGGAACUGAGACACGGUCCAGACUCCUACGGGAGGCAGCAGUGGGGAAUAUUGGACAAUGGGCGAAAGCCUGAUCCAGCCAUGCCGCGUGUGUGAAGAAGGUCUUCGGAUUGUAAAGCACUUUAAGUUGGGAGGAAGGGCAGUAAGUUAAUACCUUGCUGUUUUGACGUUACCAACAGAAUAAGCACCGGCUAACUUCGUG